CGACCGGCGCACGGGUGAGUAACACGUAUCCAGCCUGCCGAUGACUCGGGGAUAGCCUUUCGAAAGAAAGAUUAAUACCCGAUGGCAUAGUUCUUCCGCAUGGUAGAACUAUUAAAGAAUUUCGGUCAUCGAUGGGGAUGCGUUCCAUUAGCUUGUUGGCGGGGUAACGGCCCACCAAGGCAUCGAUGGAUAGGGGUUCUGAGAGGAAGGUCCCCCACAUUGGAACUGAGACACGGUCCAAACUCCUACGGGAGGCAGCAG
rnacentral:rRNA from 1 species